rfam:Triticum urartu cultivar G1812 contig709303, whole genome shotgun sequence.
AUAAUAUUCCCUUCAUUCCGAAUUAGUUAUCUUAAAUUUAUCUAGAUAAGGAUAUAUAUCUACACACGAUUUAGUGUUAGGUACAUCCGUAUCUAGAUAAAUUUACAACAACUAAUUUGGAAUGGAGGUAAUACUUA